CAGGUUGUAGUUUAGUUGAAAAAUUAAGGCUUUGGGAGCAUUAGAUCCUGCGAGGUAGGCGGCCUGA
rnacentral:tRNA from 1 species